rnacentral:SRP_RNA from 1 species
GCCGGGCGUGGUGGCGGGCGCCUGUAGUCCCAGCUACUCGGGAGGCUGAGGCAGGAGAAUCACUUGAACCCGGGAGGCAGAGGUUGCAGUGAGCCAAGAUCGCACCACUGCACUCCAGCCUGAGCAACAGAGUGAGACUCUGCCUCUA